ACGGAAGGCAGCAGUGGGGAAUAUUGGACAAUGGGGGAAACCCUGAUCCAGCGACGCCGCGUGAGUGAAGAAGUAUUUCGGUAUGUAAAGCUCUAUCAGCAAGGAAGAAAAUGACGGUACUUGACUAAGAAGCUCCGGCUAAAUACGUGCCAGCAGCCGCGGUAAUACGUAUGGAGCAAGCGUUAUCCGGAUUUACUGGGUGUAAAGGGAGCGUAGACGGCAAAGCAAGUCCGAAGUGAAAUCCCGGGGCUCAACCCCGGAACUGCUUUGGAAACUGUUUAGCUAGAGUGUAGGAGAGGUAAGCGGAAUUCCUAGUGUAGCGGUGAAAUGCGUAGAUAUUAGGAGGAACACCAGUGGCGAAGGCGGCUUACUGGACUGUAACUGACGUUGAGGCUCGAAAGCGUGGGGAGCAAACAGGAUUAGAUACCCUGGUA
rnacentral:rRNA from 1 species